rnacentral:tRNA from 1 species
GCGGCGCUGACCAUAGAGGAGCUCAGCUGACUCAUAAUCACUAGGUUCCAGGUUCGAGCCCCGGGCGCCGCG